UUAGAGAUUAUUUUUCGUAAUCAGGAAGUGGAUUUUUCGGAGAUACUUUGUUCAAACAAUGAACUGCAAUUUUUUUCUUUUUAUUUCACGACCAUCUAAUACUGGCUUAUCUGUUUGUUGUUUCAACAAGAAGAUAUGAAAAAUGGUGUGGGUUUUAUCUGGCCCCUGGUAACAUGAUUUUUACAUAUUUACAGGGUGGUCUCAAUGGGAAUAAGCGGCUAAGUAAGUCGAAGGUUCUUAAGAAGCUCCUUCAGGAACAGAAAUCUGUUGGUAGAAUGUAUGGAGCAGUAUCCUCCUCUCUGGCGCUACUGCAAAAACAAGGGGUGCUCAAGGUAAGUUUAAAUUCUUUCUGAACUCUCCAAAGCUUUUGUAUCUGUGGUGUCAUUCUCCAUGGAUAUUCAAGCUUUUGUAUCCCUAGGAAGAACAUUGCUAGAGAGAGAAAACUGGAAUGCACAUAGCUUAUUAGUCAGUAUAUAUUACUCCCUCCAUUUUGAAUUUCCUUCAAAAUCUAAAAUCUGUUUACAGAAAUUAGUUUGCAUAAUAUGAUGUCAAGAAUUUAGAAAUAAGAAAUAAAAGGAAAAGAGACGAAAGAAAAGAAUGAUGAGUUGUUAGUAGUGACUUUUAUCUUAAGAAACUAUUUUAUGUGGUAGAUAUCAAGAGUUACAUUACAAUAAAAGUCAACAGACUAAAUCAGUUCAUAUAAGUACAUUCUCCAUGGAUGUUCAUCUUGUUAUACUCUUUUUCUCUCCUUUUUUUGGUUUUAGUUACAGGGCCUGCUCUUUUGUCUUCCACAUUCUAGAAAAUUUCUAGAGUAUCAAUAGUAAACUCUGAUCUUCUUAUGUCUUGUAAGAAAUAUUAUGUAAUUAUAUGUUUCUCUAGCUUAUCUUUACAUCAUGUUCUAGAACCAGAUUAUCUAUUUAUGUUUGUGAUCUUUCCAUAUCUUUGCAAAAUCAUAUUUGUCUUUUAGACUAACAUUCUUUUAUGCUAUUCCUUUUUGGGUUAAGGGAAACUUCAAAGAAAGACUAAAAUCUAAGGGUCAUGCUUUUUUCACCUUGCCGAAAUGGGGCGACUCCUCCAGUUGAUCUUUCCUUGUCACUAUCAUUCAGCAGUUCAAUUACGCAUCCUCCAAUUGCAGUUCCUCAUUCAGGAGGUUUCGGCCUUGCAGCUUUGCAGACAAGUAUUUUAGAUGGCCCAUUAUUGGCUGUUUCCUCCCCCCCACCAGAGGUGUGAUUACCUCUGAUUGACUCUAACGUCUUUUUUCUUUUUUUUAAUGUGCAGGGAGCAUAGAGAUGUAAUUAUUUCAUUUAUUUUUCUUAUUCCUUCUCCAACACUAAAAUAAUUAUGUUAGGGAUCACAGUUAUUAUGCUCCUUGGAGCGAUUUGUGAAUAUAUUAUAGCUGUUUAUGUAAUGAGUAUAUUUUUUGUCCCUUAUUGCAACUUUUUCAUUUUGAAUCCCUCUAAAUCGUCAUGUAAGAGUAUGCUACUGCACCUGCACUUGCACC